AGCUGUGAUAGUAAAGCAAAAUUACAAUCAGAACCAAGUUUUACCCGUUAUGGUCAUUGAAAGCACUUACAUCUAUGGAAACAAAGAUAAUCCUUCAUCCCAUCAGCAGCCACUCACUCUUAACUAUACUGUCAGGGAAACAGGACUGUGAUUAACUCAUGAAGAAUUGGAAUGAAAAUUUCAAUGUUUUAAACACUGGGAAGCAAACGUCUCUCUCACCUUUAUGUCUUCUGAUGAGCAGCCAUGUUCCUGACAUGGUAAAGUUGACACCUGCACUAUUUUAGGUCAUUGAGCACUCCUUGAAGUAGGAAUCCAUUUGAAGAUGCCCCAUUAGGUGUCUUACAUAACCAGGAAUGACUGUGAUGCUAACCUUAUGAUCAGACAUAUGAUUCUGGCAGAGGUGUUUGAACAGUUACUCCUGUUACUCUGGUGUGCUUAUAGAUGCUUCUAGAAGGAGGAAUAAAUAGAUCUUCUCUUAAUUACAUUUAGAGAUUUGCAGAAGGAAACCUCGAGAGUGUUUGGAGUGCUUCUCCAGAGUUGCCCUGCCAGACUGUAGUUCAUCAGCUGGUGGAGCUCUGCUUUGCACUCCCUGAAGCAAAAGAAAUCAUAUUAAAGUCAAACUUACUUCAGGAAUAGCAGUGCCUGACAAGAAAUGGAGUGUCAAAUUCUCCAUUUCACUGAAAAUAGCUGCUACCCUACCACCACCAUCUGCCACUUAAUAUUGUUGUUUCCAAUUUAUGCUGGUUUGGGAUGCAAGAAAUACUUUGAAAUAAUUGUGCAGGUUUCUUGCAGUUAAACUUCAAGAGCAGCAGCUCUUUUCUCAUCCUUUUUCUGUGGUGCCACCCACCAUCCUGAUGGCUCCAGGAUUCUGUUGCUACCACAAGUCUGGCUGAUUGAAGUGAGGAGUUUAAUGUGCACCUUGUUGCCUUUUGUGAUCAUGGCUUCUGGGCAGUAAAGGUCAGCUUGCCACAAGUCAGCUUCACAUGACUUUCUACAGCAUGAUUUUGGUCUUCCAAAGCAGAGAAGCAGAGUGCCUACAGCUGAAUGCUUUCUCUUUGGAUUAUAACAGGAAGGGAUCAGAACUACAAAAACAAUAUGGCAAUGGCCUUGGUGGGAUUAGAAAGGUUAUUUACUGUUAUACCAUGAGGAAAACCUUUACACCUCAACAGGAUGAGAGUGAUGUGUACAUGCUUUACCCAAAAUCCAUCUGUACUAAUCAGCAUAUGUACUGAAAGGAAUGGCAGGGGAAACUCAUCUCUCCCAGGCUUCAACUCUCACACCUUGGGAACAGAAAGCAUGGCUUCUGCAAUGCUCUUGCUUCAAGGAGGGACUUUUAUGAGGGCAGGUAACAAUAGGACAAGGUGAAAUGGAUUUAAACUGACAGGAGGUAUGUUUAGAUUAGAUAGUAUGAAAAAAUUAUUCACUAUGAGAGUGGUGAGGCACUGGAAC